rnacentral:lncRNA from 1 species
UGUUUUAUAGGAUAGGCAUUUAACUAUGAUUGGGCGACAUUUGCCCUGGCUGAAGGUACCCAAGCGAUGCGCGCGUUCAAUGGCAUCAGAGGAAAGGGGAGAAGAAAGGUGGCAAUUGAGAGUGGAAAUAACUUUUUCCUCUGUCAUUGCCCAGGUUUCUUCAGAAUCUGGGAUGCCGUAGAAAAUGAGGUUGUUGCGUCGCAGUCUGUCAUCGUGAUCCUGCACGCGUGUUUGCAAUGAGCAUACCUGAGCGGAAAGCUGAUCUGUCUGAGUAUGGAUGCUACUAACUUCCUGGUGAGCGGGUGUGAACAUCUUUGAGCAUUUGGAAAAUGACCCUCAUCUGUUCCGCGGGAUCUGCGGGUAAGGAUGCUAUGUCACCGAGCGUGUCCGAACGCUUGGUAGGGGGCCCGGGGUUGCUCUCAACAUCGCCAGCGCGUAGCAGCAAAAAAGGUAUGAAAAAACAUUCACAAAACACUUCACACAACACCCGUGGACACGGGACCAGUAUUAAGCAGAGGUUGUUAUUUUUCUUUGCAUAUAAAGAAACGUUUGCACACACCUGCAUUGCAAAAGGGAAGCGAUUCAGUGCUUGUACAGAAGCACCGAUCCCGUGUCCACUGAAUUGGUUU